GGUGGCUCAGUGGUAGAGCAUUUGUCUUGCAUGCAUGAGGCCUUGGGUUCGAUUCCUCAGCACCA
rnacentral:tRNA from 1 species